GGAAACCCACGACCAGUGCAACAGAGAGCAAACCGCCGAUGGCCCGCGCAAGCGGGAUCAGGUAAGGGUGAAAGGGUGCGGUAAGAGCGCACCGCGCGGCUGGUAACAGUCCGUGGCACGGUAAACUCCACCCGGAGCAAGGCCAAAUAGGGGUUCAUAAGGUACGGCCCGUACUGAACCCGGGUAGGCUGCUUGAGCCAGUGAGCGAUUGCUGGCCUAGAUGAAUGACUGUCCACGACAGAACCCGGCUUAUCGGUCAGUUUCACCU
rnacentral:RNase_P_RNA from 2 species